rnacentral:rRNA from 1 species
UACGAAGGGGGCGAGCGUUGUUCGGAAUUACUGGGCGUAAAGGGCGCGUAAGCGGCGACCCAAGUCAGAUAUGAAAGUCCUGGGCUUAACCUGGGGACUGCAUUUGAUACUGGGUUGCUUGAAUUCGGGAGAGGAUAGCGGAAUUCCCAGUGUAGAGGUGAAAUUCGUAGAUAUUGGGAAGAACACCGGUGGCGAAGGCGGCUAUCUGGACCGACAUUGACGCUGAGGCGCGAAAGCGUGGGGAGCAAACAGG